UACGGGGGGGGCAAGCGUUGUUCGGAAUUACUGGGCGUAAAGGGCUCGUAGGUGGCCAACUAAGUCAGACGUGAAAUCCCUCGGCUUAACCGGGGAACUGCGUCUGAUACUGGAUGGCUUGAAUUCGGGAGAGGGAUGCGGAAUUCCAGGUGUAGCGGUGAAAUGCGUAGAUAUCUGGAGGAACACCGGUGGCGAAGGCGGCAUCCUGGACCGAGAUUGACGCUGAGGCGCGAAAGCCAGGGGAGCAAACGGG
rnacentral:rRNA from 1 species